AUGGAGCCGCUGCAAGCCCUGAGCCCCGUCCUCUGCAUUGUCCUCCUCAUCCCCACCUGGGCAGCAGCUGGUCUUGGAGUUUCCCAGGAGCCCAUGUCCCUCAACACAACAGCCGGGGAUAACGUGACCCUGAGCUGCUCCUUCCAGAGCAGAAAUGGCAGUAGAGCCAAGGUGCUUUGGUUCAGGGGAUCUGGAGAAGACGUGGUGCUGGAUGCUAACUACCCCUUCUACCGGGGGCGGCUCCGUGUGUCCAGUCUGGAUGAGAUCAGAAAGGGGAACGCGAUGCUGACCCUGUCUAAACUGGACAAGAGAGACUCUGGCCUCUAUCAGUGCUGCAUCGAAAUCCAGAAUGAGACGACAGGGAUGGGAGGAGGCACAGAUCUAAGAGUGAUGAGGAGAAACCAGAGUGUGACUG